GAUGAACGCUGGCGGCGUGCCUAAUACAUGCAAGUCGAGCGAAUGGAUUAAGAGCUUGCUCUUAUGAAGUUAGCGGCGGACGGGUGAGUAACACGUGGGUAACCUGCCCAUAAGACUGGGAUAACUCCGGGAAACCGGGGCUAAUACCGGAUAACAUUUUGAACCGCAUGGUUCGAAAUUGAAAGGCGGCUUCGGCUGUCACUUAUGGAUGGACCCGCGUCGCAUUAGCUAGUUGGUGAGGUAACGGCUCACCAAGGCAACGAUGCGUAGCCGACCUGAGAGGGGGAUCGGCCACACUGGGACUGAGAAACGGCCCAGACUCCUACGGGAGGCAGCAGUAGGGAAUCUUCCGCAAUGGACGAAAGUCUGACGGAGCAACGCCGCGUGAGUGAUGAAGGCUUUCGGGUCGUAAAACUCUGUUAUUAGGGAAGAACAAGUGCUAGUUGAAUAAGCUGGCACCUUGACGGUACCUAACCAGAAAGCCACGGCUAACUACGUGCCAGCCGCCGCGGUAA
rnacentral:rRNA from 1 species